rnacentral:misc_RNA from 1 species
GAUGAAGAACGUAGCGAAAUGCGAUAAGUAAUGUGAAUUGCAGAAUUCCGUGAAUCAUCGAAUCUUUGAACGCACAUUGCGCCCCCUGGCAUUCCGGGGGGCAUGCCUGUCCGAGCGUCAUUUCUGCCCUCAAGCACGGCUUGUGUGUUGGGUGUGGUCCCCCCGGGGACCUGCCCGAAAGGCAGCGGCGACGUCCGUCUGGUCCUCGAGCGUAUGGGGCUCUGUCACUCGCUCGGGAAGGACCUGCGGGGGUUGGUCACCACUAUAUUUUACCACGGUUGACCUCGGAGCAGGUAGGAGUUACCCGCUGAACUUAAGCAUAUCAAUAAGCGGAGGA